rfam:Gossypium raimondii Chr05_contig_417, whole genome shotgun sequence.
AAUCCAUGCAUCAGACAUUUUCAAAUUAACUCAUUAAAUUGUUCCCAAGCUUCAUAUAACGUCUCGUCCUCCAUCUACCAAAAAGAUGUAUUGUCAUUUCUAAGCUU